rnacentral:rRNA from 1 species
CACGCCGUAAACGAUGGAUACUAGGUGUAGGAGGUAUCGACCCCUUCUGUGCCGUAGUUAACACAAUAAGUAUCCCACCUGGGGAGUACGGCCGCAAGGCUGAAACUCAAAGGAAUUGACGGGGGCCCGCACAAGCAGUGGAGUAUGUGGUUUAAUUCGAAGCAACGCGAAGAACCUUACCAGGGCUUGACAUCCCUUGACCGCUGUAGAAAUACAGUUUCCCUUCGGGGCAAGGAGACAGGUGG